rnacentral:lncRNA from 1 species
UUUUGUAACAAGAUCAUCACCUAAAUACCCCAUAAACCUUCCAUAAACCACACGUACCAGAUGAUAUUAUACAGAGUUUAGAAGCAUGCAUAUUAAGCAAUCCCUAAGUUUAUUGAGGAAAAUGAUUGUCAGAAUCAGACAUGUUACUUGCAUGCAACAUGUUUUUUGUGCUUUAAACUCAGCACCAGUUUCUGGUGCAUUAAUCAAACUCACAAGAGGACUGUGUAUGAAUAACAAUCUAAACGUAAUAUUAGCAUUACUAAGUCAUCACCUUCUUCACUAGUCAUGGCUUAAAAAUAGCCAUGAAGUUGAAAUGAGAUCUUAUUUUAUAAGUUGGAAAUAUACCCUUUAGUGAAAAAGGAAUGUAUAACAAUAUAAGCAUUAUCCUUCAAACAUAAGAGGUCUCCUGAAUCACCCACUGGACCACCAAAUAAGAUAAAAUAGAAUAAAACCUCAAGUGCAUUGUAUAAGAACCAUGAAUUGAAAAUGUCAUCCAUGAUCUUCAAGGACAACAAGCAUUGAGAGUAUACUUUGUUAUAUGGGUUUAGGUCCAGGAGUCACAUGCCAGUAUGUGUCUAAAAAGCAGAUCCAUCAUAUAUCCUGAUUUUAAGAUACAAAGACUCCACUAAAAUAGAUCCAAAAAUUGGGUGCCAGUCAGGGGACAUGUAUUGCAAGACCAGAUUAUGUCCACAUAUGGAAGCCAUCCAUCACCAAAUCCUAUCCAGGGAUGCAAUUUGGGUGGGCCAUUCUGAGCCCAACUCAAACUAUGAGCAGGAUUUUGGACAUGCUUUACUACAACCUGGGCCAGGCUUGUGUUGGGAAAUUCCAAACCACGUCCAUCACUUCAUCCAUUUGGGGGUUGCAUUGUCAAGUAUGAGCAUGUUGAAGAGCAUGAGAUUAGUGAUUCUACAAUAUGCAAUAAGUGCCAAGAAGUUUAAUAUGGAGGCAAAAAAUGUAUAUAUAUGGGGACACCUAUAUAAAAUGAGAAGAAGCAAUUGAAUAGGAACCAAAAGUGGGAAUAUGCCACAAAGCCAUUGUGGAUGAACACUUAAAAUGGAAGUAAUAAGGGUCAUGGUGAAGGACAGAAACGAUCCUCAGUACUCAGAUUAAUGUAAAUCUCAGAUCCUAAAUGCUCAAAAUCCAUAACACGAAGGAAGGCAGGCUUACAUAGAAUUGGAAAAUGCAAAAAAGAAAUACGGACAGGAUUAGUCUAAUCCUAAUCAGCGUAUCUGAACAGGAAUCAAAACAGGUGUCAAAGUGCCAGAUUGCUCCAAAGGAAAAUCUCAUUGUAGGAAGAAAAAUAGUCAUAAGCACAAAACAAGCCAUUUGGAAAUGUUUGAUGACUUUGAUCUAAGACAUACUUUGGAGCUAAAUAAAAAAAGAUAUGUACAAUUUUAAGGAUAUUGAAAGUUGACCAACUAAUUAAAA